CACGUUAGAUGACUGACGGUAGGACAUUACCACACCUAAUAACUUUCCACGUGAACCGUAUCAACCCACUUAGUUGGGGGCCUGUCCUGGCGGCUGGCUGUCGAUGUCAAAGUUGACGGCUGCUGCUGUGUGUCGGGCCCUAUCAUGGCGAGCGUUUGGGUCCCUCUCGGGGGAACUGAGCCAGUAGCCCUUUUCUUUUAAACCCAUUCUUGAAUACUGAAUAUACUGUGGGGACGAAAGUCUCUGCUUUUAACUAGAUAGCAACUUUCAGCAGUGGAUGUCUAGGCUCGCACAUCGAUGAAGAACGCUGCGAACUGCGAUACGUAAUGCGAAUUGCAGGAUUCAGUGAGUCAUCGAAAUUUUGAACGCAUAUUGCACUUCCGGGUUAGUCCUGGGAGUAUGCCUGUAUCAGUGUCCGUACAUCAAACUUGGCUCUCUUCCUUCCGUGUAGUCGGUGGAAUGGGGACGCCAGACGUGAGGUGUCUUGCGGGUGGCCUUCGGGCUGCCUGCGAGUCCCUUGAAAUGUACUGAACUGUACUUCUCUUUGCUCGAAAAGCGAGACGGUGGUGGUUGGGGAAGGCUGCUUGUUGGCCAGUCCGCGACCGGUUUGUCUCUGCCGCGUUAAUGGAGGAGUGUUCAAUUGCGGAAUGGUUGGCUCGGCUGACAAUGGGCUUAUGGACGUUCUUCUGGUGGGGCGGUACGAUCGGUAACCGUUAGUUUGCAAGGCUUGCCUUUGACCGGCCGUGUUGUCCCAAGUAGGGUGCGGCUUCCGCUGUCGAGGGUCCAUCAAUUGCCAACUGUGUCUCUGCGCGCGCUUCGGGUGCGGCGGUGGCUUCUCAUUGAACUGAUAUCAGGAAAAAUACCGCUUAACUUACCUGAUC
rnacentral:rRNA from 1 species